AUGCAGCCAAUUAAGCUGACCGUGCUACUUUCCUCAUGUGGGCCAGUGUGCAAUGGCUGCAAACAGCAGCCUUCUUGGUAGUGUAUGUAGCCUGUUGCUUGUAUGGGUUGCUCUAAGGGACCUUGGAGACAGUC
rnacentral:snoRNA from 1 species